rnacentral:misc_RNA from 1 species
AACUGAUACUACCUGCGGGAACCUGCGGAGGGAUCAUUAGUGAACGCCCUCACGGGCUUAUAACUGUUCCAAACCUCUGUGAACCGUGCCCUUCGGGGCUAUUUUACAAACAUGGUGUAAUGAACGUCAUAUAUCAUAACAAAACAAAACUUUUAGCAAUGGAUCUCU